CAGUACAUUUAUAAUGAUAUAUGUAAAGAUAAAUCGAUCAUGCAAAAUGAAUACAACAUCUCACACAAUCUAUUUAAAGCUAUUUAAAGGCUAAGAGAUUCUAACAUAAUAUUAAAUGAAAGUGGACUCUGUCAGUAAGGAUAUUUUUGCAGCCGAACAUAAUUAUAUUUUAUGAAUUAAACAGCUUUUACAUUUUCUUUGUGAAAUGUUUGGGAUUGUAAGGCAUUUCUUUUAGAUUGUAAACUCACUUGAACAAGGCCCUCUUCACGUUUUCACUGACAUCUGUCAACAUUACUUUUC